UUAAAUUGAAGAGUUUGAUCAUGGCUCAGAUUGAACGCUGGCGGCAGGCCUAACACAUGCAAGUCGAACGGUAACAGGAAGAAGCUUGCUUCUUUGCUGACGAGUGGCGGACGGGUGAGUAAUGUCUGGGAAACUGCCUGAUGGAGGGGGAUAACUACUGGAAACGGUAGCUAAUACCGCAUAACGUCGCAAGACCAAAGAGGGGGAGCUUCGGGCCUCUUG
rnacentral:rRNA from 1 species